UGAAGAUGUUGAUGGAGAUUGCCCUCUCCAAGAUGGGAGAGUUGUUGGUGAUGAUGAUGACUAUGAUUUCCCCCUCCGGGAGGGACUCCUGCCCUCUAGCGGAGCGAUUCAGCUAGGGGAACUUCCCUCCCGAAGGGGGAAAUCAUCGUCAUCAUCAUCACCAACAACUCUCCCAUCUUGGGGAGGGCAAUCUCCAUCAACAUCUUC
rnacentral:SRP_RNA from 1 species